rnacentral:tRNA from 1 species
GUUCUAGGAUAGCUCAGUUGGCAGAACAUGAGACUGUUAAUCUCAGGGUUGUGGGUUCAAGCCCCACGUUGGGCA